CCUCUGCUGCCAUCCCAGCUACAGCUGCCUCUGACAUCACAAAAUAGGAGGCAUUACCUUUGGAGCAGCCCUCAUACUCUCUCAGCUUCUAAAUACCUCCCAGUUACCACAGGGAAAAUAGGAUCUCAAAUAGCACUCCCAUCUGAAAUGCAAAACCUACAACAUCCGAGUUGUGCAAGAAUUUAAGGAUGAGAACUUGAAGAUUUACUGAGGGAAGAGGUAGAAACACAGUUUCACCAACUGGAAAGAGAGGAAAAAAUAUUUUUGAACAACAGCAGCUUCAGAAUAGGGUUUAAAGAAAAAGAAGCUGACUUACACAUGUUCUUCAGAGUCAGAAGGGAAUACACUUGAAAAUUAUUUCUAGAAAAUGUUUUAUUUUCAAAAAGAAGAGACAUUAUUAUGACUGAGAAAAAUAAUGAUCCUGGUAAGAAGUAACCAGUUAUGUGCUUCUGUUAGCAAAGAACCUAAAACCAACAACGAUACUUGACAGAUUGACUUUCAAAACCAGAGGAUAAAAGCACUCUGAACAGCAGUCGAGAGCAUUCCAUUUCAAAGAAAGGAGAACAUAGCAACGCUCACUCUGUAAGAGAAUACAUGAGAGAAAGCACAUCUAUGAAUCAUAACAGAAAGCUGCCUAGCCCUGCAGCAGAUUCUUCCAGCCAACCGGAUAUAUACAGGAUAGGGAAUAAUCAAGGUAUUCACACGCUGAAAUAAUCCAGGGAAGUUGAAAUAUAGCCUCACACAAGCACAUGCAGUCACCCUGCUGGAUAGCCAAUGGCAGACCACAAUUCUGCUGCUGCUGGAACAGUCUCAAGAUGAUUCCACUGAAAGAAAAAGAGACUGAUCAAAAAGUUCUCAAUUUUCCAGACAACAAAUCCCAAAAGUAAAGAAAUUGUGCAUCUGAGUUCCAUGAUAAAAAUGGAUUUCAUAAUGUAUUUAUAGGUAAAUGAGAUAGCUGCUUCAUUCCAGUUAAAUAAACUGUUAUGUUUCAACACACAGUGUUUGCCUUCCUUUAAUCAUAUAGCCCGAUAGCUGGCAAGAUAGAUGCAAAGCAGUAGUGUGGAUAUUUUUCUUAGCCCAAUUACCAUUUCUGACAUCUCCUCCAUGAACUUCAAGCUCAGUAGAUCAAAAAUUGAAAUUCAGCUUCUGUUAAGCUCAUGGAUGCUCCCGAGUUUGGGUGCCAGGGUGCAAUAAAAGCUAGAGCAACUAUUUUGGUGCCUGCUAACUGGAUACAUAAUUACUAGCAAUAAGCACAUGCAUCUUUCCAGCCUUCUCAGAUAGCAACCUUUCACGCUUUAUUAUCACUUAUUAAAGUCUCCUGCGGGCUUGAUUGAAGUGUGUAGGCUGCACUACACUUACCUGCAAACAAGGAAACAAAUGAAGGUGCUUUAAGUUACUUCAGAAGCUCUCCCUGUUAUUACAUGCCUCCUUCUCACAUUAUGCAUUCCACACUUUGCUUUUGUGUUUCAGUUACAAUGUUGUUUCUUGGUGACAAAAAAGUAAAGCUUGACUAUUACUGCCCACCCUUUUCUUUUUGUGCUUUCCCUCACGGGAUGCAAUUUAACACACAUUACUGAUGUGAAUUCUUCUGAAAAUCUUAAAAGUAUGUCUCAGCCAAGCAGGUUCUUACACUUCCUGCCAGUGGAUGGAGGAGUUUUCAUCCUUUCAUAUAAUU